CUCGCGUUUCCGGCCGGAGGGCUUCUUCCGCCGCUCCCGGAAGCUGCGCUUGCUGCCGGGAUAACGGGUCCCGGCGCUGGCUGAUCCCACUUCGCAGUGAUGGACCUGGAGGAGACCAAAGAGUUUAAAGAACGCUGUACACAGUGUGCUGCUAUCUCUUGGGGUCUUACAGAUGAAGGCAAAUAUUAUUGCACUUCUUGCCACAAUGUUACAGAGAGAUCUAAGGAAGUUGUAAACACUGAGGCUAUUCCUAAUACCAAGAUAAAAGCCAUCAACCGGGGACUUAAAAGGAAAACAAA